rnacentral:rRNA from 1 species
GCGUAGGAAUCUACCCAGUAGUAGGGGACAACUUGGGGAAACCCAAGCUAAUACCGCAUACGCCCUACGGGGAAAGCGGGGACCUUCGGGCCUCGUGCUAUUGGAUGAGCCUGCGUUGGAUUAGCUAGUUGGUGAGGUAAAGGCUCACCAAGGCGACGAUCCAUAGCUGGUCUGAGAGGAUGAUCAGCCACACUGGGACUGAGACACGGCCCAGACUCCUACGGGAGGCAGCAGUGGGGAAUAUUGCGCAAUGGGCGAAAGCCUGACGCAGCCAUGCCGCGUGUGUGAAGAAGGCCUUAG